rnacentral:rRNA from 1 species
GGUUCGAUUCCGGAGAGGGAGCCUGAGAAACGGCUACCACAUCUAAGGAAGGCAGCAGGCGCGUAAAUUACCCAAUCCUGACUCAGGGAGGUAGUGACAAGAAAUAACGGACCGAGGCUUUCGGGCUUCGGGAUUGCAAUGAGCCGAAUUUACACCCCUUAGCGAGGAUCGAUUGGAGGGCAAGUCUGGUGCCAGCAGCCGCGGUAAUUCCAGCUCCAAUAGCGUAUAUUAAAGUUGUUGCAGUUAAAAAGCUCGUAGUUGGAUUUCUGGGAGGGUGCCAAUGUCCGCCAGAGGCGUGCGCAGCGGCGCCCUUCCAUCCUUCUGUUAACAUCUCUUGGCAUUCAUUUGCUGGUGAUGGGCUCAGAUAUUUUACCUUGAGAAAAUUAGAGUGUUUCAGGCAGGCUAGGCCGGAAUACAUUAGCAUGGAAUAAUGGAAUAGGACUACGGUCUCUUUGUUGGUUUGAGGGACUGCAGUAAUGAUUAAUAGGGAUAGUUGGGGGCAUUAGUAUUUAAUUGUCAGAGGUGGAAUUCUCGGAUUUGUUAAAGACUAACUUAUGCGAAAGCAUUUGCCAAGGAUGUUUUCAUUAAUCAAGAACGAAAGUUAGGGGAUCAAAGACGAUCA